GAUGAACGCUGGCGGCGUGCCUAAUACAUGCAAGUCGAGCGAACAGAUGAGGAGCUUGCUCCUCUGACGUUAGCGGCGGACGGGUGAGUAACACGUGGAUAACCUACCUAUAAGACUGGGAUAACUUCGGGAAACCGGAGCUAAUACCGGAUAAUAUAUUGAACCGCAUGGUUCAAUAGUGAAAGACGGUUUUGCUGUCACUUAUAGAUGGAUCCGCGCCGCAUUAGCUAGUUGGUAAGGUAACGGCUUACCAAGGCGACGAUGCGUAGCCGACCUGAGAGGGUGAUCGGCCACACUGGAAAUGAGACACGGUCCAGACUCCUACGGGAGGCAGCAGUAGGGAAUCUUCCGCAAUGGGCGAAAGCCUGACGGAGCAACGCCGCGUGAGUGAUGAAGGUCUUCGGAUCGUAAAACUCUGUUAUUAGGGAAGAACAAAUGUGUAAGUAACUAUGCACGUCUUGACGGUACCUAAGCAGAAAGCCACGGCUAACUACGU
rnacentral:rRNA from 1 species